rnacentral:lncRNA from 1 species
GGACGCUCUGUCUGAGGCAGAACUGGCGGCCGCACCCGGGCUCCUAGAGGCACAAUACAGUCUCUUGUUGCUGUCCUGGGCCUAGGCUUCUGAGAAGGAGAAGUCAAGAGUUUGAUGUCUUUGUCAUCCCUGCUCGGGCAGCAGGAUACUUUCCCAGAGGCCAUGGAGACAGGACGCCUAGGUGCCCAAGCACUGCAGAGAUGGAUUCCAGUGGGAGAUGCCAAAACUCAUUUUUCUGGCUGCAGUUCUCGGACAAGACUUGACCUCUUCCAGUUGGGACUCCCUGCAGCAAAUCACAUUACACAGCUGUGCCUUUAGAACAAUGAGACACACCUAGAGGAUCAGACCAGGAUGCCAAGAAAAUGUCCACACAGAGAAACAGUAAACACUCUGACAUCAUAUGAACUGAUUGGCUUCCUAUAUUCUGAGGUCUUUUUAUAGAGAUUUCACUCAGAUAAAAAUGCAAGCCGCUGAACCAUAUGCCUAAGUGUUUUCUCUACGCUGCUGGCCUGAGCAGCUGGCAAAACACGAUCUAGGACUGAUAAACUAUCCUGACAAAAGCACUUCAGAGAGGUCUGCAGGCUGGGGUCUGAAAGAGGUCUGAAUUUUAAAAAGGUACUAAUUGCUCAAAGGAUGGAACAGUUCCUCCGAAAUCUAACCCGGUACCUUAAUAGAACCCAUUAAGGCACUGUGAGAAUCAUAGAGAGAAAACAUGUCCCCAGUAAGGAAGGAUGACGUGGAAACGCACUGACCAGGACUUUUCAGGCACCGAUGAAUCCUUCAAGAACUGAAAGAAAAACUUGAUUUUAGCAACUGAGCAAGAAACAAAGGUGCGAAAGUCGAUCACAGAGGAACUAUUAGAGAUAAGGUUAAGGGUCUCUGUGCAAACGUGGAUGUCUGUGACCUCCAUCCUCCCAGCAGAUGUUGCCAAGGUCUGUUGGGAAGCCUGGGGGGGCGGGCAGUGCCCAAAGGGUGGGAAGGCAUGGCUUAGUCACACACUUGUGACCUCUGACCCUCCAGAGAGAGUAUGAGCUCCACAGCUGGGCCUGGCCUGCUCCUUUGGCACCUGCGGUGUGGAUUUCAUAUCAACAGUUGAUCGCUGUCUGACAGGACUUUAUUAAACAUACAGAACCCUACAUUACUGGGCAGUGAAUCCAAAGGAGGACUGAACCAAUCAGGGCUGAGGACUUGGGUGCCUGCUGCCAUGUUUUAUCUCAUCCCACUGCCUCCGCACCAGGGAUCUCAAUAAUUUCGGGCUCUCUGAUGAUGGCCUCUCAUCCCUAUGUUUUAUUUAAAGAGCUUGAAACUGGAAAAUGAG